CUUUCCCUUAAAAAAAAUAUGAUAAUUGAGGGAAAAAAAUCAAGAUUUGGGGGAAUUACCUACAAAGAUGUAAGGUUGCUUGUCUGGAGACAGAGCCACUACGGGCAGGGCCUGGGCGCCUGGAGUCGGGCAUGAAAGGAAAUAGCGCCUCAUCGCUCUUAUCUAAGCCCAGAGGUCUACUUCGCUUGAAAAGAUCGAGAAUGGGGGAGGGGAUCGUCACUCACUUGCAGACAUCAACAGUUUCCAGAAAACUCGGUUCAAUUCCUUCACCACGGACCCACCAACCAAGGAGCUGGCAAGACCCACCAGCCAACCAGGAGAACACAGACCCGGUUUGUCUUUUGACAACCGAGUGGAACUGACGGGGCCGGCGCCUGCCCUGCGGGUCCCCUCCCUUGGCUGAGAAGAAAACCAAAUAAACCUUGAACAGCC
rnacentral:antisense_RNA from 1 species